rnacentral:rRNA from 1 species
GACGUAGGGCGCGAGCGUUGUCCGGAUUUAUUGGGCGUAAAGAGCUCGUAGGCGGUCUGUUGCGUCCGCUGUGAAAACUCGGGGCUUAACCCCGAGCCUGCAGUGGAUACGGGCAGACUAGAGGUAGGUAGGGGAGAAUGGAAUUCCUGGUGUAGCGGUGAAAUGCGCAGAUAUCAGGAGGAACACCAAUGGCGAAGGCAGCUCGCUGGAACGGAACUGACGCUGAGGCGCGAAAGCGUGGGGAGCGAACAGG